rnacentral:miRNA from 2 species
AACCCGUAGCUCUGGACUUGUG